rnacentral:rRNA from 1 species
CUGUACGGAGGGUUUGAUCCUGGCUCAGGAUGAACGCUGGCGGCGUGCUUAACACAUGCAAGUCGUACGGGCUGGCGCUUAGCGGAAGCUUGCUGGGGGUGGUGAUCAUGAGAAAUCAUGAGAGCCGCUGAUGGCAAGCGGAAGCUACUAGCCGGCCAGUGGCGAACGGGUGCGUAACACGUGGGUGACCUGCCCCAAAGUGGGGGAUAACUAUUCGAAAGGAUAGCUAAUACCGCAUGUGGUUCAGCAUUCGGUUGCUGAACUAAAGGAGCAAUCCGCUUUGGGAGGGGCCCGCGGCCCAUCAGCUAGUUGGUAGGGUAAUGGCCUACCAAGGCGAUGACGGGUAGCUGGUCUGAGAGGACGAUCAGCCACACUGGCACUGAG